AAUAUUGCACAAUGGGGGAAACCCUGAUGCAGCAACGCCGCGUGAGCGAUGAAGGCCUUCGGGUCGUAUAGCUCUGUCCUAAGGGAAGAUAAUGACGGUACCUUAGGAUGAUGCCACGGCUAACUACGUUCCAGCAGCCGCGGUAAUACGUAGGGGGCAAGCGUUAUCCGGAAUCAUUGGGCGUAAAGGGUGCGUAGGCUGCCCUAUAGGUCAGAGGUCAAAGGCUACGGCUCAACCGUAGUAAGCCUUUGAAACUGUAGGGCUUGAGUGCAGGAGAGGAGAGUGGAAUUCCUAGUGUAGCGGUGAAAUGCGUAGAUAUUAGGAGGAAAACCAGUGGUGAAGGCGACUCUCUGGACUGCAACUGACGCUGAGGCACGAAAGCGUGGGGAGCGAACA
rnacentral:rRNA from 1 species